rnacentral:rRNA from 1 species
CCUACGGGAGGCAGCAGUGAGGAAUAUUGGUCAAUGGGCGAAAGCCUGAACCAGCCAAGUCGCGUGAGGGAUGAAGGUCCUAUGGGUCGUAAACCUCUUUUAUAGGGGAAUAAAGUGUGGGACGUGUCCUGUUUUGUAUGUACCUUAUGAAUAAGGAUCGGCUAACUCCGUGCCAGCAGCCGCGGUAAUACGGAGGAUCCGAGCGUUAUCCGGAUUUAUUGGGUUUAAAGGGUGCGUAGGCGGCCUUUUAAGUCAGCGGUGAAAGUCUGUGGCUCAACCAUAGAAUGGCCGUUGAAACUGGGAGGCUUGAGUAUGUUUGAGGCAGGCGGAAUGCGUGGUGUAGCGGUGAAAUGCUUAGAUAUCACGCAGAACCCCGAUUGCGAAGGCAGCCUGCCAGGCCAUGACUGACGCUGAUGCACGAAAGCGUGGGGAUCAAACAGGAUUAGAUACCCCGGUAGUC